GACGAACGCUGGCGGCGUGCCUAAUACAUGCAAGUUGAGCGCUGAAGGUUGGUACUUGUACCAACUGGAUGAGCAGCGAACGGGUGAGUAACGCGUGGGGAAUCUGCCUUUGAGCGGGGGACAACAUUUGGAAACGAAUGCUAAUACCGCAUAAAAACUUUAAACACAAGUUUUAAGUUUGAAAGAUGCAAUUGCAUCACUCAAAGAUGAUCCCGCGUUGUAUUAGCUAGUUGGUGAGGUAAAGGCUCACCAAGGCGAUGAUACAUAGCCGACCUGAGAGGGUGAUCGGCCACAUUGGGACUGAGACACGGCCCAAACUCCAACGGGAGGCAGCAGUAGGGAAUCUUCGGCAAUGGACGAAAGUCUGACCGAGCAACGCCGCGUGAGUGAAGAAGGGUUUCGGAUCGUAAAACUCUGUUGGUAGAGAAGAACGGUGGUGAGAGUGGAAAGCUCAUCAAGUUACGGUAACUACCCAGAAAGGGACGGCUAACUACGUG
rnacentral:rRNA from 1 species